rnacentral:pre_miRNA from 1 species
UUUUUAGUAUAAGUAUAUCCCAUGCAUAUUUGGGAUAUACUUAUACCAAAA